CGCAUCUCAAGUCAGUGAACGAGCAAUCAGUCAGAACAGGACAGGUGAUUUUAUUGACAAUUUUUUUUCCCAUCAUGAAAAGGACAGUUAAGCCCGCAAAAGAGGAAAAGCGGAGGAGGAAAAGAAGUCAAAAUAUAAAGAUCCCCCACCUCACCUGAGUGCAGCUGCCCACUCUCGAGUCCAAUUACACCAGUCUAUUUGGGCUGGGGUGAAGCUGAGCACGUCCUCUUUCUCUCAUUGGCAUGUGAGUGUCCGUGUGUUCCUGUAGCUAAGUGCGCAAGAAUGAGGCUCUCUCCAGAAGCUGCCCAGCCCAGCCUGAAACAAUAAAGCAAACUACAAGCAGUGUGGUGCAGGGACGACUUAGGGACGGUGGACGACUGGCUAGCACAUCUGCCUCACAGUUCUGGGGACCGGGGUUCAAAUCCUGGCCUCACCUGUGUGGAGUUUGCAUGUUCUCUCCGUGCCUGCGUGGGUUUUCUCCGGGCACUCCGGUUUCCUCCCACAUCCCAAAAACAUGCAUGGUAGGUUGAUUACCCAUAGGUG